CUGUCGUCAGCUCGUGUCGUGAGAUGUUGGGUUAAGUCCCGCAACGAGCGCAACCCUUAUUUUUAGUUGCCUUAUGGAACUCUAAAAAGACUGCCGGUUAUAAACCGGAGGAAGGCGGGGAUGACGUCAAGUCAGCAUGCCCCUUACACCCUGGGCUACACACGUGCUACAAUGGGCGAGACAAUGAGAUGCAAGUUUGCGAAAAUGAGCUAAUCUAGAAACUCGUUCUAAGUUCGGAUUGUAGGCUGCAACUCGCCUGCAUGAAGUUGNAAUCGCUAGUAAUCGCUGGUCANCUACACAGCGGUGAAUUCNUUCCCNGGCCUUGUAC
rnacentral:rRNA from 1 species